AGAGUUUGAUCCUUGCUCAGGACGAACGCUGGCGGCGGGCUUAACACAUGCAAGUCGAACGAAGCCUUCGGGCUUAGUGGCGCACGGGUGAGUAACACGUAGGCAACCUACCCUUAGCUGGGGAAUAACCAGGGGAAACUCUGGCUAAUACCGCAUAAUGUCGAGCGACCGCAUGGUUGCACGACCAAAGUUCAGGCGGCUAAGGAUGGGCCUGCGUCAGAUUAGCUAGUUGGUGGGGUAAAGGCUUACCAAGGCUACGAUCUGUAGCGGGUCUGAGAGGAUGAUCCGCCACACUGGCACUGAGACACGGGCCAGACUCCUACGGGAGGCAGCAGUGAGGAAUAUUGCGCAAUGGGCGAAAGCCUGACGCAGCCACGCCGCGUGCAGGAAGACACCCCUCUGGGGCGUAAACUGCUUUUGUGUGAGAAGAAGGCUCCCCUCGGGGGAGAUUGACGGUAUCGCACGAAUAAGGACCGGCUAACUCCGUGCCAGCAGCCGCGGUAAUACGGAGGGUCCAAGCGUUGUCCGGAAUCACUGGCUGUAAAGGGUGCGUAGGCGGACUCGUAAGUCAGAGGUGAAAGCCCGUGGCUCAACCACGGAACGGCCUUUGAUACUGCGAGCCUUGAGUCCUGGAGGGGUUGGCGGAAUUCGUGGUGUAGCGGUGAAAUGCGUAGAUAUCACGAGGAACACCGGAGGUGUAGACGGCCAACUGGACAGGUACUGACGCUGAGGCACGAAAGCGUGGGGAGCGAACAGGAUUAGAUACCCUGGUAGUCCACGCCGUAAACGAUGAGUGCUCGAUGGUGCAGCGAUUGGGCUGCACUGUCUAAGCUAACGCGUUAAGCACUCCACCUGGGGAGUACGCUCGCAAGGGUGAAACUCAAAGGAAUUGACGGGGGCCCGCACAAGCGGUGGAGCAUGUGGAUUAAUUCGAUGCAACGCGAAGAACCUUACCCAGGCUCGAACGCUGCCGGACAGUCCCUGAAAGGGGAUCUUCUUCGGACCGGUAGCGAGGUGCUGCAUGGCUGUCGUCAGUUCGUGUCGUGAGAUGUUGGGUUAAGUCCCGCAACGAACGCAACCCCUAUCGCUAGUUACCAGCGGGUAAUGCCGGGGACUCUAGCGAGACUGCCUGCGCAAGCAGUGAGGAAGGUGGGGAUGACGUCAAGUCAUCAUGGCCCUUACGCCUGGGGCUUCACACGUGCUACAAUGGACGGUACAAUGGGCAGCCACCUGGUGACAGGGCGCGAAUCCACAAAGCCGUUCUCAGUUCGGAUUGGAGUCUGCAACUCGACUCCAUGAAGCCGGAAUCGCUAGUAAUCGCGUAUCAGCCAUGACGCGGUGAAUACGUUCCCGGGCCUUGUACACACCGCCCGUCAAGCCAUGGAAGUUGAGGGCACCCGAAGUCCGUGACCCGACCCGCAAGGGAGGGAGCGGCCGAAGGUGAACUCAAUGACUGGGGCUAAGUCGUAACAAGGUAGCCGUACCGGAAGGUGCGGCUG
rnacentral:rRNA from 1 species